rnacentral:rRNA from 1 species
UACGAAGGGUGCAAGCGUUACUCGGAAUUACUGGGCGUAAAGCGUGCGUAGGUGGUGAGUUAAGUCUGUCGUGAAAGCCCCGGGCUCAACCUGGGAAUGGCGAUGGAUACUGGCUCGCUAGAGUGCGGUAGAGGAGAGUGGAAUUCCCGGUGUAGCAGUGAAAUGCGUAGAGAUCGGGAGGAACACCUAUGGCGAAGGCAGCUUGCUGGGACGGUACUGACGCUGAGACGCGAAAGCGUGGGGAGCAAACAGG